AACCCCCCGAAAUCUGCAAAGCAACUUGGCGGAAGCAGCAGAUAUCAGGGGGUCCAAAAGCAGGCGCUGGCCUGAGAUGGAUUAUAACGCAUGCAAAACAGAAGACAACCCCUGCCCGCCAUAAGU
rfam:Buttiauxella agrestis ATCC 33320 GBAG.assembly.076, whole genome shotgun sequence.